AACGAACGCUGGCGGCAGGCGUAACACAUGCAAGUCGAGCGCCCCGCAAGGGGAGCGGCAGACGGGUGAGUAACGCGUGGGAAUCUACCCAUCUCUACGGAAUAACGCAUGGAAACGUGUGCUAAUACCGUAUACGUCCUUCGGGAGAAAGAUUUAUCGGAGAUGGAUGAGCCCGCGUUGGAUUAGCUAGUUGGUGGGGUAAAGGCCUACCAAGGCGACGAUCCAUAGCUGGUCUGAGAGGAUGAUCAGCCACACUGGGACUGAGACACGGCCCAGCAUCCGACGGGAGGCAGCAGUGGGGAAUAUUGGACAAUGGGCGCAAGCCUGAUCCAGCCAUGCCGCGUGAGUGAUGAAGGCCCUAGGGUUGUAAAGCUCUUUCACCGGUGAAGAUAAUGACGGUAACCGGAGAAGAAGCCCCGGCUAACUUCGUGCCAGCCGCCGCCGUAACAC
rnacentral:rRNA from 1 species